GUCUCCACGAGCUCCUCGGCCAUAGGGUUUCCCUGCAACUCAUCAGCUCUGUUCUUGGAGAUCCUCGUACGUCAGCACUCUCUCUCUCUCCCCCCUUCCAUUGUCAAAAUUCCUAUUGCGAGAUGGGUUAAUAUAGAAAAAAUAAAAACAUAAUCGAAUAAUUGGAAGGAAGGUUAACGGAUUCAAAUCGAGUAAAUUCGGGUGAUUUAGUUGCAUUGUUUGAUAUAUUUGGGUGUUAACUCAACAUUCAUUUUUAUUAUAAAAAAGUGGCUCAUGAUAUUCCGCUACAUGGCGUCUAUACCAAAUACAUAUUUCCAUCGGAGUGUCCGCCUUAAAUUAAUUCAAGAUUGGAAAAAAUAUAUUAGCCAAAUAAUGAAAUAGCAGCAAAACAAAAUUAACCAUAAUCUCAGUUGGUUUUCUUGCGAGGAGUUUUGCAAUUAUCUUCUUCUUCAUCUGAUAAUCUUAAACAGAUUAUAUGAUUGUACACAGUUUUUUUAAGGUAUUUCUUGUUCUUAAGUAAUUGUUUAUGAAGUCUUCCGAUUUAAAUCAAUGAUUAAAAUUCAUCUUAGGUUUCGAUUCCACAUGGAAUCACUUGACUACCUUGACUAAUACCAUAAUAAAAUACAAUAUGAUAUGUCAAUAUGAAAAUAUUGUAUAUACACAGCGAAUGGUAACAAAGGAAAAAUUGGAAAGGCAGCAUACCUGGAGAACUGGAUUCCCACAAUUGCUCCCUUAACUGCUGGUCAAACAUCCUACAACCACCACAGUGAGUUCUUCCUCAAGUUUCUCACCCUCGAAGAUGUUCCCGGUAAAGGCAGGAUGCACUUCGUCUGCAACUCGUGGAUUUAUCCUGCCAAACGAUACGAGAAGAAAUACCGUGUUUUCUUCACUAACAAGGUGGCCUAAUUAAAACCUCAUUCCUUGCUCCGAAAUUCAUAUUCAUCAAAUCAUGCUCUCAUCAGCAGUUAAACAAAUUAUAUGUUGGGGCGCUAGCGGAAAUGUAGCGGAAUUUAGGAUCGAAAAGAUAGUAUUUUGAUAACUCACUCAAUUGAUCACUCAAUUUUGUAAAUAUUACAAUUUGGUCACUUAGACCUUUACUCUCACCACUCACAAAUGUCUCUCUACUUCUUCUUUCUUAUUUCUUCAACUCACACAUGCCUAAAGUCUAAAGUGAGGCUUCAUAUUUAUAGGCUAAUACAACCUCCUUAGGAAGAUACUAGCACACUUGGUAGGUUUAGUGUGUGGCUAGAAUUAGUUUAGUUAUUCAAACAUAUUAAUUAGUUUAGUUGAGUAGUUGAGAUAUUUUUAGGGAUAUUUCUAGAGUAGGAAAUCUCUAGAUUGUUAAAGAUAAUUCCAUAUUGCAAAUUACCUUUAUUCAACAUUAUAUUCGUUUCGCACAACAGACAUAUCUACCACACGAGACGCCAUUGCCACUGGUUAAGUACAGAGAGGAAGAGUUGGUUACCUUGAGAGGAAAUGGAGAAGGGGAGCUCCAAGAAUGGGACAGGGUCUAUGACUAUGCUUGUUACAAUGAUUGGGGAGAUCCCGAUUGCAGUCCAGAGCAUGCUCGACCGACUCUUGGAGGAUCGACUGACUUCCCAUAUCCUCGCAGAGGAAGGACCGGAAGGCCACCGUCAAAAUCAGGUACUUCUCAGCUAUGAGUAGUUAUAAUUAGUUUUUUUUCGAGUAAUAGAAUAAUACAUUGAGCAGAUGCCAAGGCGGAGAGCAGGUUGCCACUUGUGAAGAGCCUAGAGAUAUAUGUCCCCAGAGGUGAGAAAUUUGGUCCCCUGAAGUUGUCUGAUUCCAUCGUUACUCGGCUGAAAUCCAUCAUCCAAUUAGUGAAGCCAGCACUUGAGGAUCUUUUUUCUAAGAAUCCAGGAGAGUUUGAUUCCUUUGAGGAUGCUUUGAAGAUCUAUGAUGGAGGACUUAAGCUCCUUGAAGAUCCCGCACUUGUCUGCCU
rnacentral:lncRNA from 1 species